UACAGGGGGUGCAAACGUUGCUCGGAAUCAUUGGGCGUAAAGCGCACGUAGGCGGUCUGUUAUGUCGGAUGUCGAAAGCCCUUGGCUCAACUGAGGAAGUGCAUCCGAAACUGGCAGGCUAGAGUACUAAAGAGGAUCGCGGAAAUUCCCGGUGUAGAGGUGAAAUUCGUAGAUAUCGGGAGGAACACCGGUGGCGAAGGCGGCGAUCUGGGUAGAUACUGACGCUGAGGUGCGAAAGCGUGGGGAGCAACAGG
rnacentral:rRNA from 1 species